rnacentral:rRNA from 1 species
AUGCAAGACUACUUCGUGGAGAAUCCUACACCACCGCACCUCUUCCGGAGAAGGUACCGAAUGCGCCGAUCUCUCUUUGUGAAAAUUGUUCAAGCUUGCGAGGAAAAUUGCCGGUAUUUUACUCAAGGAAGAAAUGCUGAGGGCUUAAAGGGAUUUAGUGCAUAUCAAAAAAUCGAUGCAGCUAUGCAGGUGAUUGCAUAUGGCGUUNNNNNNNNNNGAGGGCAUGGCAAGGAAUGUACUGUGGCAAGUCUCGUGAUGCAAGAAUUGUGCUAG